GAUGAACGCUGGCGGCGUGCCUAAUACAUGCAAGUCGAGCGAACGGACGAGAAUCUUGCUUCUCUGAUGUUAGCGGCGGACGGGUGAGUAACACGUGGCUAACCUAUCUAUAAGACUGGGCUAACUUCGGGAAACCGGAGCUAAUACCGGAAACUACUUUGAACUGCAUGGUUCAAAAAUGAAAGACGGUCUUGCUGUCACUUAUCGGUGGAUCCGCUCUGCAUUAGCUAGUUGGUAAGGUAACGGCUUACCAAGGCAACGGUGCAUAGCCGACCUGAGAGGGGGAUCGGCCACACUGGAACUGAGACACGGUCCAGACUCCUACGGGAGGCAGCAGUAGGGAAUCUUCCGCGAUGGGCGAAAGCCUGACGGAGCGACGCCGCGUGAAUGAUGAAGGUCUUCGGAUCGUAAAACUCUGUUAGUAGGGUAGAACAUUUGUGUAAGUAACUGUGCACAUCUUGACGGUACCUAAUCAGAAAGCCACGGCUAACUACGUG
rnacentral:rRNA from 1 species